rnacentral:rRNA from 1 species
GAUGAACGCUGGCGGCGUGCUUAACACAUGCAAGUCGAACGGACGGAUUGGAGCUUGCUCCAUGAAGUUAGUGGCGGACGGGUGAGUAACGCGUGGGUAACCUGCCCUAUGCAGGGGGAUAACGUUUGGAAACGAACGCUAAUACCGCAUAAUCUAGUUGGUUCGCAUGAACUGAUUAGCAAAGAUUUUAUCGGCAUAGGAUGGACCCGCGUUAGAUUAGCUAGUUGGUGAGAUAACAGCCCACCAAGGCAACGAUCUAUAGCCGGCCUGAGAGGGUGAACGGCCACACUGGGACGGAGACACGGCCCAGACUCCUACGGGAGGCAGCAGUGGGGAAUAUUGCACAAUGGGCGCAAGCCUGAUGCAGCGACGCCGCGUGAAGGAUGAAGGUCUUCGGAUCGUAAACUUCUAUCAGCAGGGAAGAAACCAUGACGGUACCUGACUAAGAAGCCCCGGCUAACUACGUGCCAGCAGCCGCCGUAAAAC